rnacentral:rRNA from 1 species
AGGACUAACGCUGGCGGCGUGCCUAACACAUGCAAGUCGAACGAGAGUAGCAAUACUCUAGUGGCAGACGGGUGAGUAACACGUGGUCAACCUACCUCUUAGUGGGGGAUAACUAGCCGAAAGGUUAGCUAAUACCGCAUUCGAUCUUCGAUCGGCAUCGAUUGAAGAUGAAAGGCGCAAGUCGCUAAGAGACGGGACCGCGUCCCAUUAGCUAGUUGGUAGGGUAAUGGCCUACCAAGGCGACGAUGGGUAGCUGGCUUGAGAGAGCGACCAGCCACACUGGGACUGAGACACGGCCCAGACUCCUACGGGAGGCAGCAGUGAGGAAUUUUCCGCAAUGGGCGAAAGCCUGACGGAGCGACGCCGCGUGUGGAAGAAGGCCUUCGGGUCGUAACCACUGUCGAAGGGGAAGAUAUUGACGGUACCCUUGGAGGAAGCCCCGGCUAACUACGCGCCAGCGGCCGC